AACAUGUGUACCGAGUCGACUGUUCUCUGGGAUCUGUUUUCAUGCUAAUCGAAUGUGUCUCUAGCUUGAAACAAGCUAGCGAAAACCGGUGAUUAGCUUAAUAUGCUAGCCUUCGGGGCACAGUAUACUGACAUACAUGCAU